UACAGAGGGUGGGAGCGUUAAUCGGAAUUACUGGGCGUAAAGCGCACGUAGGUGGCGACGUAAGUCGGGUGUGAAAGCCCCGUGCUCAACCUGUGAAUUGCAUUCGAGACUGCAUUGCUCGAGUACGGAAGAGGAAGGCUGAAUUCCCGGUGUAGCGGUGAAAUGCGUAGAUAUAGGGAGGAACAUCAGUGGCGAAGGCGGCCUUCUGGUCCAGUACUGACACUCAAGUGCGAAAGCGUGGGGAGCAAACAGG
rnacentral:rRNA from 1 species